UCCACACCUUGUUGGGUGUGCAGGCAGGAGACAUAUGCAUUGCAUUCAUAUGCAUUCAUGAGAAGUAUGUUAUUGAAGGGAUUUUAUCCACGUUAUUAUGAAGCUCUGUAUUAUUGGCUAUGUUCCAAAUUGGAAGACUGUUACUUUAAUAUGAUAUUAUGUCAAUUGGGAACACCAUAUUAAAUUGAUGUUAAUUCAAAUUAUGGUUUAAAUAGCUUGUCAAAACAAGUUCGCUUGCUGAGAUGUUUCAUCUCACCCUUGCUUUACUCAAUCCA
rnacentral:lncRNA from 1 species